rnacentral:rRNA from 1 species
UUAAACUGAAGAGUUUGAUCAUGGCUCAGAUUGAACGCUGGCGGCAGGCUUAACACAUGCAAGUCGAGCGGAAACGAUGGGUGCUUGCACCCAGGCGUCGAGCGGCGGACGGGUGAGUAAUGCUUAGGAAUCUGCCCAGUAGUAGGGGAUAGCCCGGGGAAACUCGGAUUAAUACCGUAUACGCCCUUUUGGGGAAAGCAGGGGAUCUUCGGGCCUUGCGCUAUUGGAUGAGCCUAAGUCGGAUUAGUUAGUUGGUGGGGUAAAGGCCUACCAAGGCAACGAUCCGUAGCUGGUUUGAGAGGAUGAUCAGCCACAUCGGGACUGAGACACGGCCCGAACUCCUACGGGAGGCAGCAGUGGGGAAUAUUGGACAAUGGGGGCAACCCUGAUCCAGCCAUGCCGCGUGUGUGAAGA